UGAUGAUGAUUAUGAUGAUGAUGAUGAUGAUGAUGAUCCUAAAUAGAUGGCGCAUACACACAUCGGGAGAUUGGCCAGGACCUGCUCCGCACCUGCUUUACCUCUUCCUCAUUCUUCUCCUUCUUCCUUCUCGAAUCAUCAUCAUCAUCAUCAUCAUCAGCCUGU
rnacentral:pre_miRNA from 1 species